GUAGGUGGCAAGCGUUGUCCGGAAUUAUUGGGCGUAAAGCGCGCGCAGGCGGGUUCUUUAAGUCUGAUGUGAAAGCCCACGGGCUCAACCGUGGAGGGUCAUUGGAAACUGGAGAACUUGAGUACAGAAGAGGAAAGCGGAAUUCCGCGUGUAGCGGUGAAAUGCGUAGAGAUGUGGAGGAACACCAGUGGCGAAGGCGGCUUUCUGGUCUGUAACUGACGCUGAGGCGCGAAAGCGUGGGGAGCAAACAGGAUUAGAUACCCUGGUAGUCCACGCCGUAAACGAUGAGUGCUAAGUGUUAGGGGGUUUCCGCCCCUUAGUGCUGCAGCUAACGCAUUAAGCACUCCGCCUGGGGAGUACGGCCGCAAGGCUA
rnacentral:rRNA from 1 species